rnacentral:rRNA from 1 species
CCCUUGGAUGUUCUGGGCCGCACGCGCGCUACACUGAUUCAUGCAACAAGUUUUGUCCUUGGCUGAUAGGCCUGGGUAAUCUUUGAACGUGAAUCGUGAUGGGGAUAGAUGAUUGCAAUUAUUCAUCUUCAACGAGGAAUUCCUAGUAAACGCAAGUCAUCAGCUUGCAUUGAUUACGUCCCUGCCCUUUGUACACACCGCCCGUCGCACCUACCGAUUGAAUGGUCCGGUGAAAUCUUCGGAUCUGAGAGAUGUCUGAUUAAUUUCGGACGCCUUUUGGAAAAGUUGCUUAAACCUUACCAUUUAGAGGAAGGUGAAGUCGUAACA